GAGUGGAACAGGUUAAAGUUCGCAGUUAAAGUUCUCGAGUACUAGUACGCGAGUGGCAACUUCCCUUUUUUCAAGGGGAUCCACCACUGCAGUCCUGAAAGGCACAAACUGGAGAAAAGAUCAAAAGCUUUGCUACACAAAAGCGUCUCAGAAAAGAUAGAGAACGCUUAUCUGCCAAAGAAAGGAUGGAUCUGGUCAAAGCUGGAUUAAUACUUUUUCUUCUAAUACUGACGAUAGACCUGCCUGAGAUUUUGGGGCGCAGUGCUGUUACGACACGAAAUUCUAAGAAAAUCAAACCAUCACCAACAACACAUACCUAAUACACUCUGUGUGGCGAUCAUCUCAUGUGGGUAUUUAAAUCAGCCUGCAAUGCAUUGUGGGAAUCAAAUUGGCCCAAGCGAAGGCGUAGACGCAAGCAAAGACGAGAUGCAACUGCUGACCAAAUUGUUCAAGUAAAAUACGAAGCAACGGAUUUCCUGUCCUCGAUUCGACAAAGGAGAGACACUUACGUAGGAGGAGGAACCACCAGCAUUCAAGAGGAAUGCUGUAAUGAAGGAUGCAGACUGGAGGAAAUUGUAGAAUAUUGUUAUUGAAGCAGUAUUUAUCAGCAAACCUCGUCCUGUUAAAAUCGCUUGAACUACGACGAAGGCAUGGUUGCAUAAUGAGCUGAUCAGCGUGAUCUGCCGUGUGCCUUUUGUGGCCAGUUUGAUAAGGAAACGGUAAACAUAAGAAGAAUUGAAAGCUGUUUCAUCUUCAGCCAUCGCCCCACGGUACACGACUGCUUAUAGGGAAAUAUUUUUUAUGCCAUAGCGACUCGCUCGCAUUAUUUUAUGAACAGUGACAUAAUAUAUAUACAUAAAUUUCUCUGCACUGAUAUAUUUAAUCAUUCAAUGUUACCCCACUGUAACAUUAGGGAUCGGCUAUUACUAAUCUCCUAGUGGGUGGGAAGAUUUUGACUGUGUCAUUGGCACAAUCAAAUUGGCAGUCAAUUAACACUACUCUUUUGGUGACGACUAAUCCCCCGUUCGUUUCCCCUGAAAACCAUGUAAUCCCCCCCAAAAAAUUCCUCCACUCUCUGGUCCGUUAGGAUUUAGGAACAAAAUUGAUGAAAUAGAUGAAGACGCUGUCCUUCGCAUGGCGAGCAAACGCAACCUCAAAAAAUUUCGAGAAAGCUUUGAUAACCAAGACCGUCUUUAUCACUGCUAUUACUCUUAUGCUGAAUAUAUGUAAUAUAAAACGUUAUCAUGCACAAAAACUUUAUAGAUGAAUGUCUCCACUUUUAUCAAUUUGAAGAAAAUAAUGCACAAAGUGUAAGCAUUAAGUCCUAAACUUACAUAGGUAAACGACCAAAUUAACAUACAGAUGUAAAUUUAGACCACACAAAGAAAACUAUGUAAUGAGAUAUAAAGAAAACCAGUUGUCGUCUGAGAUUACGCAGUGGUUGUCGUCAACGUUACCGAGCAACGCCGGAGAAAUCUUCGUGACUGGACAUGCGCCUGACUUGAAAUCUGGGCAUGAUGAUCAAGAACAGUCCUAAAAUUUGAUCUGUCAUAUUGUUUGCUGGAGGAACCACAUUUCGAUAAAAUGUUGUAAAACCCAAGUCAAAGGGA